GCCGCGGUGAUGGAACUGGUAUUCAUUCACGACUCAAAAUCGUGCGAGCGCAAGCUCAUGUGGGUUCGACUCCCACCCGCGGCACAA
rnacentral:tRNA from 1 species